UUGAAGGAAAUGAUAACAAAUGUUUAUUGUAAAUCUAUUAUAAACUGAAUAGCUAUUACUAAUAUAAUACCAAGUUACAUGUCCAUUUUAGUCACACAGUAGUUAGAUGGUAUUCCCAUUUUACAGAUGGGAAAAUAGGCUCUUAAAGGUUAAGACUUGGGCCUGAGUCUACUUUUCUGUUGUCGUCUGUUUUAGACAGAAUCUCAUGCAUGGGGACUCCGUGGCCACUAUAAGUCCAUAAUGUGAAGAAGAGCACGGGAAACAUCUUAAAUUGACAAACAAAGGAAAGGAACAUGAGGAGUCAGGAAAUAUCCUGUGAGCAAGUGUAAAAGACAGGCCCCCGUGAAAGAUCUCUGGGACUGCAGGGAGAGUCCUUGAGCCAAAUUGCUGCUGCUCUGCUCAAGGGAUGCGUUUGCAAGACCAGCACAACGGUAUCCCCAGCACCUCACACUGUCCAAGACAAACUGUGGAAUGAAUGUUUGUGAGACUGACCACAAGCAGAAUGGGCAGUCCGUGAGGUGGAGAGCUACUCAUCACUGGACAUGAGUGGGCGCAGACUGAACGCCCGUCUGUUGGAGAAGCUGCAGAGAGGAAGUCUGCUGCUGUGGUUUGAAUGUGAACCCCAAAGUCCACGUGUUGGAAGUUUAAUCCCCAAUGCAACGGUGUUGAAAGGUCCUCACCAGAUACAAUGCUCAAAACCUCGG